rnacentral:lncRNA from 1 species
ACUUUAGUAAGCUGCCCCGCCCAGAACGUGUAAGAUUCCCAGUGACAUCAGCAAGGGUCAUUCUGAAGUUUGACCAUGUAAGUUCUGCAGUCGAAUAAAAAUUGAGCAAUUAAAUAGUUAUUGAUGGAACCAUUAUUUCAUUCCAGUUUUUAGAUUAUCGUAAAAGGAACUGACUCUGAUGCAGUGAUGCUAGCUAGGAGUAUCAAAGGCUGCCAUUCAGCCAGUCUGGUGAUUUGUGCAAUCUGUCAACAGGUACCUAAUUGCUCUAUAUUUUACUGUGAUGCCACCGUACCAUUCCGUUUCUGGCUCGUGCUUAUCCAUUUCUCGGUGAAUAUUGUAACAAGCUCAGGUACCAUAAUCAUAUGCUCCUCUGUAUUUAGUGUAACGAUAAAGUAAAAGGAACGGAAGUUUGGAUAGGAAAGGGAAACAUACGGCAUGAGAUAUGUUUCUUAGGACAUCGUACGAAUUACCAGUCAAACAAAACAAGCCCAUACGGUAUUCUUAACCUCCAAUAGAGACAUUGUGAACGAAACUUGCACUACAAACGCAGCACAGCCUAAUCUCUCCUUUAGUUUUUAGGAGAUCAUUUAUGUCGAGAAAGUAUCUGCAUUUCUUACUGUGCUUGGCAUGUGUAGUUUAUUCAAGGUACCUUGUGGUUUCUGUCAUACAGAUACUGGAUUUUACAGUUGCAGCCUCCUGGGUUUUGUGGCGAUCAAGACAUACAUCAAUCAGGAUCAAACAGAACUUGUAGCCAUAGCCCGAGAAAGAAGAGGACAGAGAAAACACAGAAUCAUGCGACCGAUGUUCCUGCCCGUGGUUGCUACUGUCUUCUCUGCUAACGGAGUGAGUUCUUCCGCUCGUUCGUCCGAAAAUCUAUGUUCUUUACCUAGUGGUAUACCACUGUCGAUCCUUUCAUUUUUGUAUCUUUUCAGUCCUAUCAUGUUUCAGUAUCUCAGUGUUCUGUUUUAUAUGUAGGGAUCUACAGAGUACGACAAACAUGUAAAGGUGAUGAUGAAGAUUUCAGGGAGAUGAUGAUGGACAGUGAGUUUGACCGAUUUGACUUUACAUAGAAAUACAGAAUCCUUUUGAAAGGACACCAUAGGGGUUAGCUUAGUAGCUUCUGAAUUCCAUGCCUGUAUUUAUAUUGUUCAGGAGAAACAAAAGCAGCUAGGCUAAGAAGCCAGGCAGGUUCAGGCUCUUCAGCCAUUACUUUCUCCUCUACAUAUGAAAACAAACAAAAUGCCAUCAAUUCACAGGCACCUAAUGUUGAAAGUGUCAACUGUGGUAUUGUCAAAUCAACAACUACUCUGCAGCACCCAACUUUAAUUCUCUGAAUUUAUCAAGUUUCUCCUAUUUUAUGUCACUUUAUUUGUAUUUUGGAUUGUUUCGAAUUUCGAAAGAUAUGCUCUUUCGAUUGUCUAAUCGAAAUCGAAACUCUUAAAUAUCAACCUAAGUGGUUUAAUUGAGACAAU